CACCAUAUUAUUCUUCAUUUUUCUCUAUACAUAGUUUCAAAUAUUGUGAUUAUCAAUAUAUUUUUAAUAUUUUUUCAAAAAAAUAUAUAUAUAUUUUUAAUGCAUUUCCUUUGUGUUCUUAUUAUCACCGUUCCAUACUAGGCCUACGUUGUACGAGAGCCUAAAUACCAAGUAUACUCUUGUGUCUAAAGUUAUGAAAUAAUUGGAAACAAAAAAUUCAACAACUAAGGUAACAAAGUAUUUCUCAACUUCUUUUCUCUGUAAAUUGUUUUGCAUCUGUUUUAUGACUUAUCUUUAGGAAAACUUUGUUACCUAUUUUACUAAUUGUUACAGUGGAGAAAACGUUUUUGAAACAAAAUAUUUUAGCCAUUAAUAAGAAACAAAACAUAAAUGAAAGAAUAAAAAGGAAAACUGGAAAAAAGAGACACUCUCAACUUGGAAUUGUCUAAUAGGACUUGCAGAGGAUUACUUAGUUAAGUAGAAUUUAUAUUUCCUUAAUACCAUUAUACCCUUCAAUUAACCAAAUUAAUCUUUAUAUUUCGUAAUUGAUUUAAACUUUUAUUAAUAAGAAAAGAGGUAAAAACAAAAACUGAAAAAGAGAAAUCUACGUAAGAGGUUUUACGCUAAUUUCUUUUUAACUUUACUCUUCUUCUUCUCUGUACUUUCAACCCGUAUCAAUGGCGAUUUAGGACACGAAUCAACGAAUUGAAGAUUUGUUCUUCCUCUACGGGUUUAUGAUACUCAUGAACCAUAAUAUCUUCCUGAACCCUAAUUUCUUCCCACACAGGAAACAAAUUCGGUUCAGAGCUUCAUUUAUCGAAGAACGUGUGUGUGACCUUGCUCGUCAGUUUCUACAUCGGAUUCAUAGGUUUUCUUUGAUUCUUUUGCGGUUUUUAUAUUCAUGUUAGUUCCAGGUUUAAUUUUAUUGCUCGUUCUAUGCUGAAUUUUAUAUACACGAUUAGUCUCUAUUUCGUUAAGCAUAGUUAGUUUCCGAGUUAUUGAUUUAUAUAGGUGAUGUUGCCUUGUUUAGAGGUUCGCUAUCACUGAAUUCAUCUUUGAGUAACCUGCGUAGUUCAUAAGUGUAGAGAUUCGUCAUCUC